CACGUAGGGGGCAAGCGUUGUCCGGAAUCAUUGGGCGUAAAGAGCGUGUAGGCGGCUCGAUAAGUCUGCUGUGAAAGUCCAGGGCUCAACCCUGGAAGGCCGGUGGAAACUGUCGGGCUAGAGUCCGGAAGAGGCGAGUGGAAUUCCCGGUGUAGCGGUGAAAUGCGCAGAUAUCGGGAGGAACACCAAUGGCGAAGGCAGCUCGCUGGGACGGUACUGACGCUGAGACGCGAAAGCGUGGGGAGCAAACAGG
rnacentral:rRNA from 1 species